UGGGGAAUUUUGGACAAUGGGCGCAAGCCUGAUCCAGCCAUGCCGCGUGAGUGAAGAAGGCCUUCGGGUUGUAAAGCUCUUUCGGACGGGAAGAAAUGGUGGGCUCCAACAUAGCCUGUCGAUGACGGUACCGUAAGAAGAAGCCCCGGCUAACUACGUGCCAGCAGCCGCGGUAAUACGUAGGGUGCGAGCGUUAAUCGGAAUUACUGGGCGUAAAGCGUGCGCAGGCGGUUUUGUAAGACAGAUGUGAAAUCCCCGGGCUUAACCUGGGAACUGCGUUUGUGACUGCAAGGCUGGAGUACGGCAGAGGGGGGUGGAAUUCCACGUGCAGCAGUGAAAUGCGUAGAGAUGUGGGGGAACACCGAUGGCGAAGGCAGCCCCCUGGGCCUGUACUGACGCUCAUGCACGAAAGCGUGGGGAGCAAAC
rnacentral:rRNA from 1 species